rnacentral:rRNA from 1 species
UACGUAGGGUGCGAGCGUUAAUCGGAAUUACUGGGCGUAAAGCGUGCGCAGGCGGUUCGUUGUGUCUGAUGUGAAAGCCCCGGGCUUAACCUGGGAAUGGCAUUGGAAACUGGCGAGCUGGAGUGUGGCAGAGGGGGGUGGAAUUCCGCGUGUAGCAGUGAAAUGCGUAGAGAUGCGGAGGAACACCGAUGGCGAAGGCAAUCCCCUGGACCUGUACUGACGCUCAUGCACGAAAGCGUGGGGAGCAAACAGG